rnacentral:rRNA from 1 species
UACGUAGGGCGCAAGCGUUGUCCGGAAUUAUUGGGCGUAAAGAGCUCGUAGGCGGCUUGUCACGUCGGGUGUGAAAGUCCGGGGCUCAACUCCGGAUCUGCGGUGGGUACGGGCAGACUAGAGUGCAGUAGGGGAGACUGGAAUUCCUGGUGUAGCGGUGAAAUGCGCAGAUAUCAGGAGGAACACCGAUGGCGAAGGCAGGUCUCUGGGCUGUAACUGACGCUGAGGAGCGAAAGCAUGGGGAGCGAACAGG